rnacentral:rRNA from 1 species
GAUGAACGCUGGCGGCGUGCCUAAUACAUGCAAGUCGAGCGAACGGACGAGAAGCUUGCUUUUCUGAUGUUAGCGGCGGACGGGUGAGUAACACGUGGAUAACCUACCUAUAAGACUGGGAUAACUUCGGGAAACCGGAGCUAAUACCGGAUAAUAUUUUGAACCGCAUGGUUCAAAAGUGAAAGACGGUCUUGCUGUCACUUAUAGAUGGAUCCGCUCUGCAUUAGCUAGUUGGUAAGGUAACGGCUUACCAAGGCAACGAUGCAUAGCCGACCUGAGAGGGUGAUCGGCCACACUGGAACUGAGACACGGUCCAGACUCCUACGGGAGGCAGCAGUAGGGAAUCUUCCGCAAUGGGCGAAAGCCUGACGGAGCAACGCCGCGUGAGUGAUGAAGGUCUUCGGAUCGUAAAACUCUGUUAUUAGGGAAGAACAUAUGUGUAAGUAACUGUGCACAUCUUGACGGUACCUAUUCAGAAAGCCACGGCUAACUACGU